rnacentral:rRNA from 1 species
AACGUAGGGGGCUAGCGUUGUUCGGAAUUACUGGGCGUAAAGCGCGUGUAGGCGGUUUGGUAAGUCAGAAGUGAAAUCCCUCGGCUCAACCGAGGAACUGCUUUUGAAACUGCCGAACUUGAGUAUGGGCGGGGAGAGCGGAAUUCCCGGUGUAGCGGUGAAAUGCGUAGAUAUCGGGAAGAACACCAGUGGCGAAGGCGGCUCUCUGGACCAUCACUGACGCUGAGACGCGAAAGCGUGGGUAGCAAACAGG